UACGGAGGGAGCUAGCGUUGUUCGGAAUUACUGGGCGUAAAGCGCACGUAGGCGGCGACUCAAGUCAGAGGUGAAAGCCCGGGGCUCAACCCCGGAACUGCCUUUGAAACUAGGUUGCUAGAAUCCUGGAGAGGCGAGUGGAAUUCCGAGUGUAGAGGUGAAAUUCGUAGAUAUUCGGAAGAACACCAGUGGCGAAGGCGACUCGCUGGACAGGUAUUGACGCUGAGGUGCGAAAGCGUGGGGAGCAAACAGG
rnacentral:rRNA from 1 species